rnacentral:lncRNA from 1 species
GAAACUUUUAGAGUACAAAAGUAUGCAAGCACACUUUCUGUUUAUUGUCAACACAAUGAUAUAAUUUGUAGUUAUUAAAAAGGAAUUGUUAUGACCUUGCAGACCCCUACAGUGAUCUCAUGGAUCCCCAGGAGUCUCCAGAUACAUUUUGAACAUCGGUCAUCAAGUCCAAACUUCUCAAUGUGCUGUCUGGAGAUGAAACAUCAUUCAAUAGACAACGAGGAGAAAGAAAGGAGGACGAGGCUAAAGAUCAGAAACGCUGACCCUGACAUUCCUGAGCUACUGAACCAGCUUCAAAAGUCAUUGAUUUCUAGACUUUCUGGUAAUUCAUCCUGUGCUUGGAUGUCUCAGGGAUGUGCUCAAAUGUGUCCCAGCAGAAGAAGGUAGGCACUUCCCAUUUGGAGAUCCAAAGAUUUCAAAGAGGUAAAGGACGCAGCCUUGAAAAAGAGAAGUGGUGAUUGAAAACAUGGAGAAAAGGUUUGAGGAAGAGAAAAUCAACAAGAAUACAUUCUUCUCUAGUCAAAGAAAUAGCCCAGCAGGUACACUGUUCAGUGAGUCGCCCAUUUCAGGUAAAUGGGUUUAGACAAAGGACGCCAUUUAACUAUACCUCCCAGAUCUCCUCCCAGAUCUUUGACCACUGACAGAUAUGAUGUCCUGACAGACAGGAUGACCACAGUCAUCCGCAUCGUGAGCAACAGAAAGAUAACAGAGCAAGUUACAAAGAUUGUAGAGUGAUUGGAAUUGAUUAGAAGUGCCAGAUGAAAUUCAAUUCUUCAAAAGGUGAAGAAAAUGGGUUACUUAGUUGAAAUACAAUGUAGAAAGGCAAUGAAUUCAAUGAAAUAAGUAAGGUCAGCAAGGCCUUGGAAAGAAAUAGAGAAAAUUAGGAAGAGGAACAUUAUUGUGUUUAUAUUCUUAUGAGAACAAAAAGGAAAGAAAAAACACAGUGGGAGUUUAAUCAAGUAGUUAAGAGCUUUUUGCAUACAGUUUUGAAAAGAGAGAAAAUAUGUGCACUUAGAGACUGGGUCAUACAGGGACUAGUUAGACCCAUUCUGGAAAGUGCCCAGGAAAAGUUUGACAGGAUUUUUGACACAGAAAGAUGAAGCUCUGGAGACAAAAAAUAAUUCAGCUUUAUCAGCCCUCCCACUGAGAAGGACGCUUUUGUGAGAGACAGAUGACACAACUGCUGAGAAAAUCUUUGCUGGCCACCUAAAUGUAUGUCUAGGAAACCAAAGAUCAGCACAAUUUAGGAAAAUUAACAGCAUGAAAUGGAAGGCUUAAUCAGAACAAAUGACAAGGAAGAGAACAGAUAAUUUAGGGAACAAAAGAAAAAAAAUUCUGAUGGAUGUCCUUAGAAGGAUUAUAGAGGAUGCUGCAUCCGAAAACAAAAUCAAGCUUCUAUAAAAAGAAGCAAUCAGAAAACAACAAAAAGUUUCAG